rnacentral:misc_RNA from 1 species
UUUCCGCAGGUGAACCUGCGGAAGGAUCAUUAUUGUAUAACCGAGGUGCGAGGGCUGUCGCUGACCCGAAAGGUCGUGCACGCCCGAGUGCCCUCACACACAUCCAUCUCACCCCUAUGUGCACCACCGCGUGGGUCCCCCUUUGGCUUGUUCGGAGGGGGGCUUACGUUUUCACAAACUUUGUAUGCAGUGUAGAAUGUAUUUUUUGUUUUUGCGAUCACGCAAUCAAUACAACUUUCAACAACGGAUCUCUUGGCUCUC